GGCAUGAAUUGAUUAGUUCAUAAACAUUUUCUGAGAAGCUGCUGCACCUGUUGCAUACUUUUCUUUUUUUUUGCUAAACUAAUUCAUGCAUGCAAUAAAACUUCAGCAUUACAGUUACACUCAGUUACAGAUUUGUGCAAAACACUUUCAUAAUCCCAUUACAGGAGUUUCUUUGCUACAAGCAGAUAUUGUGUCAUGAAGAUUGUAGGCAAAACAAGUUAAAAACAAUUAUUUGUCAUUGAACAUUUUACUGAUACUCUUUUGCAAGUUAGUAGUAUAUAAGUGAGGAGAUAGAGUUACUGGAGGGGUGGCGAUCUGAUUUAAUCCAAGUUAAAUACAAUAUAGAAAAUAUAUUUAAAAGUACAAUUUGAUACCAAAGUUACACAUCUUGUCUGAUUUAAACCCUGCUCUAGUCUUCUGCCAUGAAAGAGACGAAGAGACUUCUGUGAUUCAGAGCGCCUGAGCUCCUGAUGUUUUCUGUGCACACUGGAAAAUAUCUGGUGGGCACAAGAUGUUUUGGAGUUGAAACUAUCUGGUGUGCACUUGAAAUGCUAGAGCAGGAUAAACAGGAAGCUUUUGAUUCAGAUAAGAUGAUGGAUGAAUGACAGCAGAAGGAAGGAAUGUGACUAAGGUUCAUUUCUAUUUCUCGUUGAAUUCUUUGAGCAUUAAUCUUUGUUCCGUUAAUGUGUUCUGUGUGCUGCGUUUAUAUGACGAUAUCCUGCGUCAGGAAAUGAAAUUCCUCUGACAUUAUUAUUUUUAGAUACUAGAGGCCAAGGUUCAACGUUUGGCAGUGAACAAUCGUAGAACAAAUGCUGCAGCCUUGAAGCAACAAUUUGUAAAGGAGGAUUAAUCUACAUGCAUCUACUCUCAACUUCAAUUUUUUUUAAUCAACUACAAAAAAAAGGGCUGUUUUUAAAAACUGCAUUGAUUGACAUUUUCCCUCCUGGAAUAAAGGCUUAAAUGUGAAAUAUAUAAAAAAAAUAACACAUGAAAUCACCUCCAAGUCUUUAAGAUGUAGAUAUAGUGGCUGUUAUAUUGAAGACAUUAACCCAGAGCUGCAUUUUUGCUGCAACCUGCGCAUGUUGUUGCUGCUGCGAUUCUGCGGAGAUGAUCAAGAGUACUGAUAAAUACAACAAACUAAGUUUUUAUGACCUGCUACUUGUUACUAUGGCUGAAGAUCGCACAAAUAAUCUGUUUGAACAAACUUAAAUCAACCUGUAGGUAGUUUGUGUCCAUAGAUUUAAUUUAAUUUCAUUAGAAUUUAUUUUCUCUAAGAAGAAACUCUGAUUGUUACCUGUUUGCUUUGUAUUUACCUGACGAUAUAUUUGACUAUAAAGCAGGAAACUUAAACUGUUUAACUUUGUUACAGGACCAGUAUAGACACCAACAGGCUGUGUAUGUGAUGCUUACUCCUGUGUGUGAUUACUGUGUUGUAGAGCUGCUGGCUGGUUGUCAUUACAUGAAGCACCAUAUAAUGACUUGUGUCUAAUGUGCUGCAGGGAUCAAAUGCAAAUACAUGUUUUGAUGCUUUUUACAAUCUGUUGAUGGACGUGCAGAACAGAUUUUUUGUGCUCUUUUUAAGAGUCUUUGGCAUUGUUUGAAAUGUGAGGUUAUUAAAUGUCAGGGCCUCCCUGUUUCUCCUCUUCAGCCUCUUUCCUGAUUCCUCAGCCCCUUUCAUUUUACAUCCGUCCACCAGAUAGCCUCAGACUUUCCCUCCUUUCCACAUCACCUGUCAUCCUGCUUCCCUGCUCUGCUCUCUCCCCUGUCCUGCAAUAAUCGGCCCUACCUGGAUUUGGUCUUUUUGCGUUUUGGACUUUGGAUGCCUGCCUGCUCCUUACUGCAUUACUUUGCUUGUGUUGGAUUGCUCUUGUUUGUUUAAAUCACUGAGCAGAACCACCUCUGACGUCUGCAUUUGUGUCCUACCCCUGUGUUCCUGCUACCCUGCUGGCACCAUGUCAAUUAAAUAUUCACUACAAAUUUGAGGUAGAAGUUCUUGAAAACAUGAUAAUCUCAUAAAAUAUGAGGCCUUGUUAUAGAUUGAACUACCCAACAUUAAAUAAAAUUGAUAAAAUUGGCUCCACUUUGACAAACUACAAUAGUAACAUACUGUUUUCACAUAAAUGCAUCAUAAAUAAUAAUCCCAUAACAGGAUAUAUAAUAGUACAACACUUAAAGGCCAUUUUCUGCCUUAUGGUACUUUUAUUUUUGAUACUUAAUAUUAAUUUUUAGAGAUGUAUCAUUUUCAAUGCAGGGAGGAUUUUCACACUGUAGUAUCGCUACCUGUACUUAAAUGAAGGCUCUGAAUACUUCCUCCACCGCUGGACCACAGUACUGUCUGUAUUUACUGACACACCUCUGUUUGUGUUGUGUCAUUCAGGUGAUUUGUUGGCGUGAGCCUCAAAAUGAGGCUCUGUGACGAAUCUGAGGACGCAAACACUGCAGUGGAGCAGACAGGAGGGUCUGCAGCCUCCAGCUGCUCCAGAAACAGCGAGCGGCUCGCUGUGCCACGUUUCGGCCGUCACCACCUGCCUGCAUACUGGGUGGAGUUUCCAACAGCCAUCUAUCUGCUGAUGAAACACAAUCAAUCCCAAGAGCUGCUCGAUGUCGACUUCAACUUGGAGCCUUCAGUCACAAAACCUGUGUGCGUGAGAAGAGGCAGUAAGGCAUAUCGUCUAGAUUUCCAGGGUCCAGCCUGAACUGUGCAGUUAUGAUGCUGUCAGCAUGAAGAGGAAUGAAUCCUUGAAAAGUGGCCACUGGAUGGGAAACAUCAGAUUCAACGUGAGCUUCGUUAUUCCAGUCGAGAGAUGAGAAAUCUCUUCUACAAGUUGAACAUCAGCGCCGCUGUCAGGAGAUCUGCUUGAAAAAUAACUUUGCCAAAUAAUUUUAUGAAACACACACCAGCAAUUUUGUUUGUUAAUAAUUAACCUUAAAAUCACAAAUGUGACGUAUACCGUUAUAUUUAUAGAUUUAAUAUUUGUAUAUGCUUCAGAACAUCCGUAUCUACAACAGAAAUGUCAUUCAGUAGUCUAAUAGUGUGUGUAUAUGUAUGUAUUUAUAUUAUAGAUAUAAUUACAGUAAAAGAAAAAAGUCUCAGUCAUCAGAAAUGAUGCAUGUUGGAGCAGGUGAGCCCCUCGCUGUGAAGUUGUAUGUUUCUUUUCUCAUCUAACGACGUGAAAUUAGGAUUUAUUUUAACCAAACCAGAGUUGGUAACUGUUGGAAAAGUGAAAAGACAAGAAUUUUGUGAGUUUUAUUUUGUUUCUGUUCAGUUCGAAUGAAAUGUGCUUCACGAUGACGUGAGGUAAAAUAGUUGUUUUUCAUGAAGCAGCCAUUUGUGCUGGUGCUGUAGUGCAACAGUGAAAGUUGCAUACAGCUCCUUUCUUCCAUCACAGUGCUUUCUCUUUUUUCUGUAUUGUUCACAUGUUUUUCUUUCUAAUGCUUAAUAUUUUAUGAUGGUUGUGUCUAUAGGCUGUUAAAUACAUGUAUGUACAUAGUUUUUGUGUUUAUGAGUAAAACCUGGAGCACCUGGAAAUCUUCAAUGCUGAUUUAUUUUUAGAAAAGAAAAGUCCUACACAGGCUGCUACAUUAACACUUUCAUGAUUAUGUGAAUGUUUUAUUGGUGGUGCUCCCAGUGGGAUUGAAACUGUAACCGUGCAUCACAAUGUUCAGUUUUUUAUGACACGUUUUGAGAUUUUUGUUUUUUAGAAGUGUUUCUCAAAGCUCCUGCCCUCUGCUGUGAAGUAAUAAAGUUAGUUUUUUUAAAAUCUGA